CUUCUCUUUCUUCUCUCCACAGUCCACAUAUAUACUUAUUCUCUUUCUCCACUUCUCAGAUAAUAAUAUAACUUGAUGUUUUGUUAAAAUUUUGUUCAUCAUUUCUGUUAACAAUAUGUAGUUAUGUACUUAUUUUUCUGAUUUGCUUGACUAUUUUUGUGUUGGAGAAAAGAGUUUAGGGCUAAACUUGGAGCUCUAUGCCGACAAUAAUGGUGAUUUUUCCCCCCCGGUAGUUGCUUUUCUUUUAAGAGAAAAAUGCUACAUGCACAGAUUUUACCUGAUCAUAAAGGUAAAGGAAAAGGAGGUAACUUGAUAGGAAGAUUUCAUCCCUAUUAUCUGCACAAAUGAAACAUGCAAGCGGUACGUAUUUGAUGCGUAUAGAUAUAAAUUCUGAUUCUAUUUUUUGUCUGAUCUCAACUCUCAAUUUUGGUAAGUUCUUUCUUCCUAUCACUCUUGGCUUAUUGCACUUAUUUGCUAUUUGUUUCUUGUUUAUUGAAGUGGAAUAUGCAUGCCCUCAAAGUGUUUGAUGAUAUGUCCGACUCAUUUUAUUUGGAGUGAUCAAGUUCACAAAUAUUAUUUUAAUUAUUUGUAGUAAACGGGUCAACUAAAUUAACCGAUGUCAUCGGUGAUGGUUCAGCUAUAGGUUUCGACCUUCAUGGAAUUUGUUGGGUUUGUAAAAUUUUGCUCUUUAUUAGGAUAAGUGUCAACAAGAAAAGGGGCAAAACGAUAGAGAAAAGUUUUUUCCCCUCAUCGUCAAAUUAGAGGUUUCUGAAUGUGUUGUUCUGAUUAUUGUUCCUCAGUGUAUUCAGCCUUCUUAACUUCGGCAAUUUAUCAAUUUGGCUGGAGAGGCCAGACAAGCAUUGCGGUUAGACAGAGCAUUCCUUCCAUCUCUCAAUGCUUUGGCGACCCCUAAACUCGAAUUUGCAAUUACAGUAGUAAUUAAGAACAACUUGCCAGCCACCAACAAAGUCACCGACCGCAUCACUUUAUUACCUUUUGCUGAUACGAGUUUAUGUAACCAUUUGUAAAUGAUGUAUACAUAGUGAUAUCAUGAAUCUUAUGUACAAUCAGUAUAUAUGUGUGUAUGAAUUAGUCAUCUUCGGAUAA